AAGCCUCGUUCUGGAACGUCAUCCAGAUCCGAGUCGAAGAGGAGCGGAGCUGUAGAGCUAUUCCCACUGCGCACAAUCAGCCUAGGAAAGGGAGGAGGGGCGUGGAAAAGGAACGAAAACUACAUUAGGAAAGGUGUGACAUUAAGAGAAUGAAAUGAUUCUGGAAGAAUCAAGAUCAUGGCAGGUUGUGCAGGAAGAAGAGGUAGAUCUCGGAUGUUCGUUUAUCAGCAGCAAACUAGAAUGUUAAAAAUAGUCUAGAAUGUAAAAACAGGUUUAAAAUAGUGUGCUCAUUUAAAUGAACUGGUUCAAACAAGAUUCAAUGAUUCACUGAUUCUUUUGAAUAAACUCCCUCCACAGCA